rnacentral:tmRNA from 1 species
GGGGACGUCUUGCUUUGACGAGGCGACAGUUCUUUAACAUCUGCAUACCGACUUUGACGAGAGAAGUCGUAAAACAGCGUCAAAAAAUAUCUGUCACUAAAACUGCACAGACAGCAUAUAGUAAAUUUGUUUCUCUCUUAGAGAGUGCAGAUCGCGCUAUUGCUUCCUUGUUUGGUAACUACACCCUCGCGGGUAAUAGAGCUUAACCAGGACAUUUACACCCGAGUCGCUCAUGGCAAUGGUGUAGGUGGAAACAAACAUGAGCCAUAACCCCGCCCUAGUCAGGCGUGGCCAUAUAAACGACUACCCUCAAAACUAUCUUGGUCUGAUAAAUACCUAAUAGUUGAGAGGUUAAAAAAUAAAUUUAUCUAUGUAUGUAGAUGGUGUUAAAAACUCGCUCCGGACGAGGGCUCACUGCCCUCCGUCUCCACAC